UCACAAAGAUCAGUCACGUGUGUUCAUCAAGUAGAGAGAUCAGGAGAUUUCAUAGAUUUGCUCUUUAAUCAUUAUUUGCUGCUCAUGUUACUAACAUUACAACUUACAUCAGUAAGAAUUAAGUCUGUCUAUUUCUUGGCAGGAUAUUUUGUGACCUGAGGCUUGGUUUUCAAUAUUUUAGGAAUAGACAAACUCAGUUUUUCUCACCCACUGUUACUUGACAAUCUGGGUACCUUUCUCAACUGUGCUUGGGAUUUCUCUACACUUCCCAGGUGCAGUGGCCGCCCACGGCUCCCCAUCAGCUGUGAAGAGACCACCUUCCUUUCCUUUGAUGACGGGCGGCGUGCGGGAGUCCUGGGAGCCGUGUGUCCUGGGUGUGCACCCUGCCUGUGGAUCCCGCAGGAAGGUGUAGUGGCCGUGUAGACUCUGUAUCAGGCAUGAAGAGAAGACCAUGCUUUCCUUUGAUGAUGGGUGGCAUGCGAGAGUCCUGGAAGCCAUGUGUCCUGGGUGUGCACCCUGCCUGUGGAUCCCACAGGAAGGUGGAGUGGCUGUGUAGACUCUGCAUCAGCCAUGAAGAGAAGAAAAUCCUUUCCUUUGAUGAUGGGCGGCGUGCGGGAGUCCUGGAAGAUGUGUGUCCCUGGGUGUGCACCCGGCCUGUGGAUCCCUCAGGAAGGUGGAGUGGCCGUGUAGACUCACCAUCAGCAAUGAAGACAUGACCUUCCUUUCCUUUGUUGAUGGGUGGCGUGUGGAAAUCCUGGAAGCCGAGUGUCCCGGCGUGUGCACCCUGCUGGUGGAUCCCUGAGGAAGGUGGAGUGGCCAUGUAGACUCACCAUCAUCCAUGAAGUGAAGACCAUCCUUUCCUGUGAUGAUGGCAGGUGUGUGGGAGUCCUGCAGCCGAGUGUCCCUGGGUGUGCACCCUGCCUGUGGAUCCUUCAGGAAGGAGGAGUGGCCAUGUAGACUCACCAUCAGCAAUGAAGACACGACCUUCCUUUCCUUUGUUGACGGAUGUAAUGGGGGAGUCCUGGAAGUCGAGGAUCGCUGAGAAAGAUCGCGUCGUCACAAAAGGACUGUCGUCCGCCUGGAAGAAACCACCUUGCUCUCUACCUGGGGGUCGGACGUGUGCGGGUCCUGGAAGAAGUGUUGCCCCGGUUCUGCCUCAUGCCCCCGGGGCGCUCAGGAAGGUAAGCCUUUCUCUGUCCCAAGGUCAGCCAAUUGGAACCGUGUGUCUGGGCCAAGUCCCUGUGUCCAGAACGUGCUGGGAUCGAUGAUGACUCCCUCCAAAAAAAAACCCAAACCAACAUUCCUUGGA